GACGAACGCUGGCGGCGUGCCUAAUACAUGCAAGUCGAACGCAUCUUCUUUCACCGUGGCUUGCUACACCGAACGAAAGUGAGUGGCGAACGGGUGGGUAACACGUGGGUAACCUGACCAUCAGCGGGGGGUAACACAAGGAAACAGGUGCUAAUCUCGCAUAAUUUAAUUUUCCGUAUGGCAGGUUGAUGAAGUGCGCUUUGGCGACACUGCUGCAUGGGCCCGCGGUGCAUUAGCUAGAUGGUGGGGUAACGGUCUACCAAGGCUGAGAUGCUUAGCCGGCAUGAGAGGGUGGUCGGCCACACUGGGACUGAGACACGGCCCAGACUCCUACGGGAGGCAGCAGUAGGGAAUCUUCGGCAAUGGACGCAAGUCUGACCGAGCAACGCCGCGUGAGUGAAGAAGGUUUUCGGAUUGUAAAACUCUGUUGUUAGGGGAGAACAAGGAUGGGGGUGGAAAGUUCACCUCUUGACGGUAUCUAACCAGAAAGCCACGGCUAACUACGUG
rnacentral:rRNA from 1 species